GAACUUAAGCAUAUCAGUAAGCGGAGGAAAAGAAACCAACAGGGAUUGCCUUAGUAACUGCGAGUGAAGCGGCAAAAGCUCAAAUUUGAAAUCUGGCGUCUUUGGCGUCCGAAUUGUAAUUUGGAGAGGCAACUUCGGAGAUGGUGCUGUCCUAAGUUCCUUGGAACAGGAUGACAUAGAGGGUGAGAUCCCCGUGCCUGGAUGGCUGUCCAUCUUCAUGUGAAUUGCCUUCGAAGAGUCGAGUUGUUUGGGAAUGCAGCUCAAAAUGGGUGGUAAAUUUCAUCUAAAGCUAAAUAUUGGCGAGAGACCGAUAGCGCACAAGUAGAGUGAUCGAAAGAUGAAAAGCACUUUGAAAAGAGAGUUAAAAAGUACGUGAAAUUGUUGAAAGGGAAGCGCUUGAGACCAGACUCGAUUCGUGGUGAUCAGCUGUGCUUCUGUACGGUGCACUCGCCAUGGAUUGGGCCAGCAUCGGUUCUGACGGUGGGAUAAAAGGUUGAGGAAUGUGUCUUCCUUCGGGGAGUGUUAUAGCCUCACUCACAAUGCCACCAGCUGGGACCGAGGACCGCGCUUCGGCUAGGAUGCUGGCGUAAUGGUCUUAAGCGACCCGUCUUGAAACACGGACCAAGGAGUCUAACAUCUAUGCGAGUGUUCGGGUGGAAAACCCUUGCGCGUAAUGAAAGUGAGCGGAGGUGGGAACCCGCAAGGGUGCACCAUCGACCGAUCCCGAUGUCUUCGGAAGGAUUUGAGUAAGAGCAUAGCUGUUGGGACCCGAAA
rnacentral:rRNA from 1 species